GGAAAAUCAUUUCAAUAAAAUGUGAGCUUGCUUCCAACCUAGACAUGAGCUUGCAUCUUGCUAGGCACCCACCUCAUGGCCAAAAGUUAUAAGAAAGAUGUUGGGCUUUUUAGGAAUAAUUCGAAAGUCUUGCCUGGUUACCCAGGACUUUAAGAGAGCUGCUUUAAGGGUAGACACACUGAAAGUUCUUUGUGAACAGAGUUAAGCGACUAACAUUCUUUUGUAUACAUUUGUUGGCUGAACCACUUUCUAUGUUCUAGUCUGACACCACAGUGCGGAGGGGCAGAGAACUUUCGACUUCU
rnacentral:misc_RNA from 1 species